rnacentral:siRNA from 1 species
UAGGAGAUAAACAUCAUUAGAACA